AUAAUCGUUGUUGGGCCAAUGUUGGCCCAACAAUGAUUAAUAAGUAUUGUAAAUACAGCCGUUGGGCCAACGUUGAACCAACUUUGAAUUUCAGUCACAGAUAUCUCUGCAUUGGCCCAAUAUUGGUUUUCAGACAAAGACUUAUACAGAGAAAACAUCGUUGGCCCAACGUUGGCCCAACGUUGACGUAUUAGAAGUCCAUGUUAUGAUAUAAUAAUUAUAUAUUUUACAGGUGACUGUUUUAUCAUAAGCCCCUACAGGUAUACACGCUGUGUAUGUGUAACAUGCAAUAUUUGAUUAAUAAUUAAAUACUUUUCUGCACCAAUUCAUAAUCAGUUAAAUUUGGGCUAAUUAAACUUAACUGCAGCCGUAAUGACAUUUUCAAAUCUACUACCUUGAAAAAAAAUGUGAAAAAAAAUGAAAAAGAACCCACUUCUAACUCUAUAACAAAUAUCUAAUUUUCUACAGUCAUAAAAUGUUUACAAUAAAUCUGUUGAGUAUUCCAGAACAUGAACUCUCGUUAACCCGGGUUAUGCAAGAAAUCCCAGAAAAUGUGGUUAAUUUUACUCUCUAGGCCAGAUUUCUAGCUGCAUAUAUGUGAAGUAAAGGAAACUAUUAUACAUGUGAUAGAUCUAAAGUUAACAAAAACCCGGUCUACCAGCUAUACACUGUUGCUGUUCAAGAGAGUAAUAAUGGAGUGCAUAGCACUGUGGUGCACAAGAAAAAACAAGAAGAAAAAAGAAAGCAGCAACUUCAGUGAGAAAAAGAAAACAAUCAAACAAAACUUGGAUAUAUAAUGAGUUAAUAUACAGACAGUAAUUCACUUUAGUAGGAUUUAAUCAGUGACUAAAAAAAAGAAAAAUAUUUAGAUUUGUAAAAGGCUGGAAUCAAUAUUUGAUAUGUUGUAGUGAUGAAAUGUUCUGUUAUAAUUCUUCAGGAAAAUUGCAAACAAAUUUUAACAAAAUCUCAACUAUAAAAUAAAAUACGUUCCAAAUAA